rnacentral:lncRNA from 1 species
CUUGAUUACAUGUUUUUCCUGUUUCCAGCAUCUUCCAUAAUUAUAUGGAGUAAGUGAAUUGACAGGUUGACUUCUAGAGGUCCUUCUGUUCUUUCUCCUCUUGCCUCUGGGCAGGAGAGCAACAGAACAAAGUAUUUUGCCAAGAACAAUAGCACACGAUACUUAGAACGUCACAAAAUGUGUAUUUGCACGGCUAGGAGAACAGCUUGGGAACUCAUAUAGUAACAUAAGCAAUUAAGAGAGACAGGCACACAAUCUGCUCUGAGGAUCCGGGGCCGCAGGGGGCACUGAAGCACAGUUUGUGCAUUUCCAGAAGUUCAAUGUCUUCUUCAAAGAGUCUGAUCAAACAGGUGAACAUCAAGUGGAAAUAUUUUGCCUGCUUUCCUGACACUGUGGGAAUCCAUAACAAUGGGAUGUUUGAAGAGCUUUUCUGAGACUAUGUUGAGGUCUGGCUGGGCUUCCUUUGUGUUCCAGCUGCUGCGUGGAACAGCCUGGUUUUGUCUUUGUUCUUGUAAGAAGGAAAGCAAACACAAGAUGCCUAGUCUGAGAGAUAAUGAAGACCAUGGCAAGAAGGAAAUCUUUGAUCCUUGUUUCUCCCUCACCACCACCCUACCCCAUCAUGAAGCCCGUCUUCCUCCCUGCAUCCCCAUUGCCGUUACACUCAGCCUUUGCUUGGGCUACGGCAGUAGCUCAUUUGUCUCCCCGUUCCCACCCUUGCCUCCAGUCUGCUUCCCACACAGCAGGCAGAGUAAUAUUUUUAAAAUGCAAAUCUGAAUAUGUGACUCUGGUUAAAUACCAUCAAGGCUCCCCAGUGCUCUUUGAAUCACGGCCAAAAUCUUUAACCAGAACGUUAAGGCACUUCAUGGUCUGACCCGUCUGCCUCCUCAGCCUCAUUUUGCCUAACUCCUCCCUUUUUCUG